GAUGAAGAACGCAGCGAAAUGCGAUAAGUAAUGUGAAUUGCAGAAUUCAGUGAAUCAUCGAAUCUUUGAACGCACAUUGCGCCCUCUGGUAUUCCGGGGGGCAUGCCUGUUCGAGCGUCAUUACAACCCUCAAGCUCUGCUUGGUAUUAGGCUUCACCCUUAGGGGCGGGCUUUAAAAUCAGUGGCGGUGCCAUUCGGCUUCAAGCGUAGUAAUUUUCUCGCUUUGGAGGACCGGGUGUGCGUUUGCCAGUAACCCCAAAUUUUAUAAAGGUUGACCUCGGAUCAGGUAGGGAUACCCGCUGAACUUAAGCAUAUCAAUAAGCGGAGGA
rnacentral:misc_RNA from 1 species